rnacentral:tRNA from 1 species
GUCCCCGUAGCUCAAUGGAAGAGCGCCGGUCUCCGAAGCCGGGCCCGUGGAGGUUCGACUCCUCCCGGGGACGCCA